UCCUUAGAUGUCCUGGGCCGCACGCGCGUUACACUGAUGCAUUCAACGAGCUUAUAACCUUGGCCGAGAGGCCUGGGCAAUCUUGUUAACGUGCAUCGUGAUAGGGAUAGAUUAUUGAAAUUAUUAAUCUUGAACGAGGAAUUCCUAGUAAACGCAGAUCAUCAAUCUGCAUUGAUUACGUCCCUGCCCUUUGUACACACCGCCCGUCGCACCUACCGAUUGGAUGGUCCGGUGAAGCCUCGGGAUUGUGGUUCUUGCCGCUUUAUUGUGGCGUGACCGCGAGAACUUGUCUAAACCUUAUCAUCUAGAGGAAGGUGAAGUCGUANCA
rnacentral:rRNA from 1 species